rnacentral:rRNA from 1 species
CUAGGGUGGCAGCAGUGGGGAAUAUUGGACAAUGGGCGAAAGCCUGAUCCAGCCAUGCCGCGUGUGUGAAGAAGGCCUUCGGGUUGUAAAGCACUUUCAGUGGGGAAGAAAGCCUUGGGGCUAAUACCCUCGAGGAAGGACAUCACCCACAGAAGAAGCACCGGCUAACUCCGUGCCAGCAGCCGCGGUAAUACGGAGGGUGCGAGCGUUAAUCGGAAUUACUGGGCGUAAAGCGCGCGUAGGCGGUCUGAUAAGCCGGUUGUGAAAGCCCCGGGCUCAACCUGGGAACGGCAUCCGGAACUGUCAAGCUAGAGUGCAGGAGAGGAAGGUAGAAUUCCCGGUGUAGCGGUGAAAUGCGUAGAGAUCGGGAGGAAUACCAGUGGCGAAGGCGGUCUUCUGGACUGACACUGACGCUGAGGUGCGAAAGCGUGGGUAGCAAACAGGAUUAGAUACCCGGGUAGUC